rnacentral:tRNA from 1 species
GCAAGUAUAGCUCAGUGGGAGAGCAUGUGCUUAGCAUGCACAAGGUCCUGGGGUCAAUCCCCAGUACCUCCA